AUGGCGAAGAAACCAGGGAAGUGGAAAAUGGGAAACAAACAGAAAUUAAGAGACCAGUGUGGCCUCAGGAUAGGGAAUGAGAAGUUUUGUGGCUCUGAGGAGUCAGCACCUAAAGUGCCCCAUACCCUCCUGCCAGUCAGCUGUGAGAAAAAGGUGGCUGGAAAUAGUGAGGAAUCAGAGAAAAAAAGGAAAGAGUUUAAAAAUUCACGGUUGCGCAGUAGUGCUAGUGGCUUCGUGGUUUGGUCCUCAGACCUGGCAGCCGCCACUGGUGUUGAAGCAGAUCGCCCAGGAAAGGUCUUCGUUGGUGGACUUAGUACGGAAACAAAUAAGAAAGCUCUUGAAGCAGUAUUUGGCAAAUAUGGACGAAUAGUGGAAGCACUCUUGAGGAAAGACCAUGAAACCAACAAAUCAAGAGGAUUUGCUUUUGUCACCUUUGAAAGCCCAGCAGACGCUAAGGAUGCAGCCAGAGACAUGAAUGGAAAGUCAUUAGAUGGAAAAGCGAUCAAGGUGGAACAAGCCACCAAACCAUCAUUUGAAAGUGGUAGACGUGGACUGCCUCCACCUCCAAGAAGUAGAGGCCCUCCAAGAGGUCUUAGAGGUGGAAGAGGAGGAAGUGGAGGAACCAGGGGAACCCUCACGGGGAAGACACAUGGAUGACGGUGGAUAUUCCAUGAAUUUUAACAUGAGUUCUUCCAGGGGACCACUCCCAGUAAAAAGAGGAUCACCACUAAGAAGUGGGAGUCCUCCUCCUAAGACAUCUGCACCUUCAGGACCAGUUCACAGCAGCAGUGGAAUGGGAGGAAGAGCUCCUGUGUCACGUGGAAGAGAUAGUUAUGGAGAUCCACCUCGAAGGGAACAGCUACCCUCUGGUAGAGAUGUUUAUUUGUCCCCAAGAGAUGAUGGGUAUUCUACAAAAGACAGCUAUCCAAGCAGAGAUUACCCAAGUUCUCGUGAUACAAGAGAUUAUGCACCACCACCACGAGAUUAUACUUACUGUGAUUAUGGUCAUUUCGGUUCACAUGGUGACUAUCCAUCAAGAGGCUAUAGCGAUAGAGAUGGAUAUAGUCGUGAUUGUGACUAUUCAGAUCAUCCAAUGGAGGUUCCUACAGAGAUUCACAUGAAAGUUAUGGUAACUCAGGUAGUGCUCCACCUACACGAGGACUCCCGCCAUCUUAUGGGGAAGCUGUGGCUACGAUGAUUACAGCAGCUCACCUGACAGAUAUGGUGGAAGUUGAGACAGUUAUUCAAGCAGCCAAAGUGAUCUCUACUCAAGUGGUGGUGAUCAAGUUGGCAGGCAAGAAAGAGGGCUUCACCCUUCUGUGGAAAUCCUCAACGUGAUUCCUACUGCAGUUCAAGCCGUGGAGCACUAAGAGGUGGUGGCCAUGGAGGAAGCCAAUCUGAUAGAGGGGGAGGCAGAAGCAGAUACUAGAAACAAACAAAACUUUGGACCAAAAUCCCAGUUCAAAGAAACAAACAAAAAGUGCAAACUAUUCUGUCAUAACUACCCAAGGACUACUUAAAGGCAAAAUUGUGUCGCCUUUUUAAAAUUCCCUGUUAAGUUCCCCUCCAUCAUUUUUAUGUUCUUGUGAGGAAAAAAGUAAAACAUGUUUGAUUUUUUU